ACGGAAGGCAGCAGUGGGGAAUAUUGGACAAUGGGGGAAACCCUGAUCCAGCGACGCCGCGUGAGUGAAGAAGUAUUUCGGUAUGUAAAGCUCUAUCAGCAAGGAAGAAAAUGACGGUACUUGACUAAGAAGCCCCGGCUAACUACGUGCCAGCAGCCGCGGUAAUACGUAGGGGGCAAGCGUUAUCCGGAUUUACUGGGUGUAAAGGGAGCGUAGACGGCAUAGCAAGUCUGAAGUGAAAUGCAUGGGCUCAACCCAUGAACUGCUUUGGAAACUGUUAAGCUAGAGUGCAGGAGAGGUAAGUGGAAUUCCUAGUGUAGCGGUGAAAUGCGUAGAUAUUAGGAGGAACACCAGUGGCGAAGGCGGCUUACUGGACUGUAACUGACGUUGAGGCUCGAAAGCGUGGGGAGCAGACAGGAUUAGAUACCCUGGUA
rnacentral:rRNA from 1 species